rnacentral:rRNA from 1 species
AUUGAACGCUGGCGGCAUGCCUUACACAUGCCGGUCGAACGGUAACGGGCCUUCGGGUGCCGACGAGUGGCGCACGGGUGAGUAAUACAUCGGAACGUGCCCGAUCGUGGGGGAUAACGAGGCGAAAGCUUUGCUAAUACCGCAUACGAUCUACGGAUGAAAGCAGGGGACCGCAAGGCCUUGCGCGGACGGAGCGGCCGAUGGCAGAUUAGGUAGUUGGUGGGAUAAAAGCUUACCAAGCCGACGAUCUGUAGCUGGUCUGAGAGGAUGAUCAGCCACACUGGGACUGAGACACGGCCCAGACUCCUACGGGAGGCAGCAGUGGGGAAUUUUGGACAAUGGGCGCAAGCCUGAUCCAGCCAUGCCGCGUGCAGGAUGAAGGCCUUCGGGUUGUAAACUGCUUUUGUACGGAACGAAAAGCCUUCUUUUAAUACAGGAGGGUCAUGACGGUACCGUAAGAAUAAGCACCGGCUAACUACGUG